ACGGUGUCUUGCAGCACUUGCGGAGCUUGGCGCUGAGGAUCUGUGACAGGCUGCUGGCGCCGGCCGCGCCAGAGGACGACGAGCCGACGCCACCGCGGCCGUCCCGCGCCGCUGCUGGGGCGACGAUGAUCUCCCCGUUGGCGCUCCUUGGCACGGGGAAGUUGGUCUUGGCGUUGCGCCCGCUCAUCAGGAUGGCGGCCUCGUCGUACGCCCGCGCCGCCUCCUCCGCCGUCUCAAAGGGCUGAUUUCUGACACUCAAGCCAGUGGAGUACUACCCGUAUACAUUUCCGAACGGAGAAGACGAGUGGAGGACAGUACCGCUCCUACUCCACAACAAUAAAGCAUGCGUGAAUGCCGAUACGACGUGCCCAUGAUGGACGUGGUAACUCAUCAGGCAGUCAAGUUAACUACGCCAGUUCCAAAGCCACCGGCCACGCACUCGCGGCCGAGCCACGGGGGAGAACACUAGACUUGCAAGAAGUUGGCCGGCAAUAACUGCAUCCUCCUCCCGAUCCAUCAACCCAUCGACCCGCCGUUCAUCCGGUAGUACGACUCGCUCGCUCAAUCACCCGCUCGCUCAAGCAGCCAAUCAUGGGUCCAUCCAUGGCGUCGACCGGCAGAGCUCCGUAAAAAAAGGUGAAAGGAAAUUAAUGGCGCCAGCGGGAAUUGAGUGGGCACGAGCGCGCUUUCACGGCUCGGCUCCACUCAGAUACGCGUGUCAGUGAGUUCGUCUGGCGUGCGUGCAGGACGACGGAUGGAAGCUUCUCUGUCCUGCCCUGCUAGCCCGAUCGAUCGCACGUACAGCGGUCGCACGCGCGGUCCUUUCUUUCCAGUGGAAAGUGCGUCGCAGCAGCAGCCGCGGGGCAGGGCAGGGCAGGGCAGGUUAAGGUGGUUGUUGGCUGUGCGUGUGACCGGCGCUGUCAGGACAUGUCUGUGUGAAAGACGGUUAAAAAGGGCGCCAGGGGCAGUUACGCCGUGCUGGAGGUACGAUGCCGUUACUCCUCCCAGUCCUCUGGUGACCAAUGCCAGUGAGUGAUUUGAUCUACUAGUAGCAGACAGCAUCCGGCAACUCGAUUAUACUCCUACGGCUUUGUAGGUCAUAGUGCGUGGUGUUUGGAACCUUGGAUGCUAAUGUUUAACCUCUGAUGUUUUCUUGAGAAAUGUUUAUCCUCUAAUUAGGUGGCGCGGGUAAUGACAGUGCUUCAGGAGGGACUAUUUUGGCGUUUAACCAAGUUCACAUUGUGCACGCGAGAGACGGCGGGGCCGAAGCCGAGCUGGCCGGGCCGGGCGCCGAUCGUUUCGGGCAGCGGAGGGCGGCGACCGGUCCUGUGUGGCGUCCAGAUCGGCAGAGAAGUCUUGGAUCGGGAAGGCGCGUGCUGGUUACACUCGGGUGUGACCUCGAAGAGGCAUCUACAGCUGCAUGCACGGUGAUGGAGUGGUUGGCGACUUCCCAGACUGUGCUAAUCAGACCUUUCUAAUAAAACCCAUAGGAUUUAAUCCCCGCCUAAUCUUGUUCCAGCGCAAUUAGAAGUACUGGAGGGCAAUCGAUCGUUCCAAUUAACUGCAACUUUGUAUAAUCAAUUGUGGCUCCAGCUUGGUUAGGUACUGGCACUGCAACUCCACCUCAGUAAAAGCUUCUAGUCGUACGCGUGGUGGUUUUACUUCA